rnacentral:rRNA from 1 species
AACGAACGCUGGCGGCAUGCCUAACACAUGCAAGUCGAACGAGACCUUCGGGUCUAGUGGCGCACGGGUGCGUAACGCGUGGGAACCUGCCCUUAGGUUCGGAAUAACUCCCCGAAAGGGGUGCUAAUACCGGAUAAUGUCUUCGGACCAAAGAUUUAUCGCCUUUGGAUGGGCCCGCGUUGGAUUAGCUAGUUGGUAGGGUAAAAGCCUACCAAGGCGACGAUCCAUAGCUGGUCUGAGAGGAUGAUCAGCCACACUGGGACUGAGACACGGCCCAGACUCCUACGGGAGGCAGCAGUGGGGAAUAUUGGACAAUGGGCGAAAGACUGAUCAAGCAAUGCCGAGUGAGUGAUGAAGGCCUUAGGGUUGUAAAGCUCUUUUACCCGGGAUGAUAAUGACAGUACCGGGAGAAUAAGCUCCGGCUAACUCCGUG